GCAGAGGUGGCGGAGUGGUUAACGCGCUGGGCUGAGGGCCCAGUCCUUAGUGGAUCGCAGGUUCGAAUCCUGUCCUCUGCACCA
rnacentral:tRNA from 2 species